rnacentral:rRNA from 1 species
GGCUCAGGAUGAACGCUAGCGGCAGGCUUAAUACAUGCAAGUCGAGGGGCAGCAUGGUGUAGCAAUACACUGAUGGCGACCGGCAAACGGGUGCGGAACACGUACAGAACCUUCCUUCGAGCGGGGAAUAGCCCUGAGAAAUUUGGAUUAAUACCCCAUAGUAUAGCGGAGAGGCAUCUCUCUGUUAUUAAAGAUUUAUCACUUGAAGAUGGCUGUGCGGCUGAUUAGGUAGUUGGCGGGGUAACGGCCCACCAAGCCUGCGAUCAGUAACUGGUGUGAGAGCACGACCAGUCACACGGGCACUGAGACACGGGCCCGACUCCUACGGGAGGCAGCAGUAAGGAAUAUUGGUCAAUGGACGAAAGUCUGAACCAGCCAUGCCGCGUGGAGGAUGGAGGUCCUCUGGAUUGUAAACUUCUUUUAUAUGGGACGAAAAAAGGUCUUUCUAGAUCGUCUGACGGUACCAUAUGAAUAAGCACCGGCUAACUCCGUG